UAGAUACCCGGGUAGUCCACGCCGUAAACGAUGGACACUAGUUGUUGGAAUUAUUCAGUGACUAAGCGAAAGUGAUAAGUGUCCCACCUGGGGAGUACGAUCGCAAGAUUGAAACUCAAAGGAAUUGACGGGGGCCCGCACAAGCGGUGGAGCAUGUGGUUUAAUUCGAUGAUACGCGAGGAACCUUACCAGGGCUUAAAUGUAAGAUGCAUUAGUUAGAGAUAGCUAUUUCUUCGGACUUCUUACAAGGUGCUGCAUGGCCGUCGUCAGAAGG
rnacentral:rRNA from 1 species